UACGGAGGGUACAAGCAUUAAUCGGAUUUAUUGGGCGUAAAGGGCGCGUAGGUGGCUUAUCAAGUCAGAUGUGAAAUUCCGUGGCUCAACUGCGGAGCUGCAUUUGAAACUGGUAAGCUAGAGGAUAGGCGGAGAAAACGGAAUUCCGCAUGUAGCGGUGAAAUGCGUAGAUAUGCGGAAGAACACCGGUGGCGAAAGCGGUUUUCUAGCUUAUACCUGACACUGAUGCGCGAAAGCGUGGGGAGCAAACAGG
rnacentral:misc_RNA from 1 species